rnacentral:rRNA from 1 species
UAGUGCUGACGAGUGGCGGACGGGUGAGUAACGCGUAGGAAUCUACCCAGUUGUGGGGGAUAGCCCGGAGAAAUCCGGAUUAAUACCGCAUACGCCCUACGGGGGAAAACAGGGGAUCUUCGGACCUUGUGCAAUUGGAUGAGCCUGCGUUAGAUUAGCUAGUUGGUGGGGUAAAGGCCUACCAAGGCGACGAUCUAUAGCUGGUCUGAGAGGAUGAUCAGCCACAUCGGGACUGAGACACGGCCCGGACUCCUACGGGAGGCAGCAGUGGGGAAUAUUGGACAAUGGGCGCAAGCCUGAUCCAGCAAUGCCGCGUGUGUGAAGAAGGCCUUCGGGUUGUAAAGCACUUUCAAUUGUGAAGAAGGGGUUCGUGUUAAUAGCACGGAUCUUUGACGUUAACUUUAGAAGAAGCACCGGCUAACUCCGUGCCAGCAGCCGCGGUAAUACGGAGGGUGCAAGCGUUAAUCGGAAUUACUGGGCGUAAAGCGCGCGUAGGCGGUUGUUUAAGUCAGAUGUGAAAGCCCCGGGCUCAACCUGGGAAUGGCCUCUGAUACUGGAUAACUAGAGUUUGGGAGAGGGGAGUAGAAUUUCAGGUGUAGCGGUGAAAUGCAUAGAUAUCUGAAGGAAUACCAGUGGCGAAGGCGACUCCC